AUUACAGAACUUUGGGAAAAAUGUAAACGUGUUGAAAGUUUGGGAAACCUUUGUGAUGUAAUCACCUUGAAGAAAUGCAACAUACAUCACACAGCAUGGAAAGCUACAGUGGUGUCCGCCAUUGCGUCCAUGCUCAGGGUCACCCUCCAUGCCAUGUGCUCGGCCCAUACUUCAGUGUCAUUAAGAUUCUUGUGGCACACCACUCCACUGGCCCGUCCUAUUAUAACAUGUCUUCAUGAAAUAUCGUUGUCCAUGAAUUGGUGCAAUCCAGUAGCAAAUAUUUGUUUCUCGGCUAUUUCUCAUCAUAAAAUGGCAAAUAAAUAAUUUUACUAUGUUUGAUUGA